rnacentral:rRNA from 1 species
AGUGAACGCUGGCGGUAGGCCUAACACAUGCAAGUCGAACGGCAGCACAGUAAGAGCUUGCUCUUACGGGUGGCGAGUGGCGGACGGGUGAGGAAUACAUCGGAAUCUACUUUUUCGUGGGGGAUAACGUAGGGAAACUUACGCUAAUCCCGCAUACGACCUACGGGUGAAAGCAGGGGAUCUUCGCACCUUGCGCGAUUGAAUGAGCCGAUGUCGGAUUAGCUAGUUGGCGGGGUAAAGGCCCACCAAGGCGACGAUCCGUAGCUGGUCUGAGAGGAUGGUCGGCCACACUGGAACUGAGACACGGUCCAGACUCCUACGGGAGGCAGCAGUGGGGAAUAUUGGACAAUGGGCGCAAGCCUGAUCCAGCCAUACCGCGUGGGUGAAGAAGGCCUUCGGGUUGUAAAGCCCUUUUGUUGGGAAAGAAAAGCAGCAGGUUAAUACCACGCUGUUCUGACGGUACCCAAAGAAUAAGCACCGGCUAACUUCGUG